AUCGCCAUGAAAACUCAACAGGACAGAGUUCAGAGAACUCCCAGAUAGCUAAGGACUUGGGGAGUCCUGAAGAGUGGUACUACCCAAGGCUGGGGCCACGGAAGCUCUGCAAACAUCUCCCACUCCAGGUCCUAUGCAUCUCUUCUUACACCUCACAAGCCGUCCUUCCAUCCAGAGAUGAGCUCAGCCUGGACUACAGAAGGAUUUCUGGCAGUUAGACAAGAGCCAGCACUCCUCAGGAACUUGUGAAACAGCCUGGUAUCCAGAAUCUACAAUUGGCCCCUGCAACUCCCCUGAGGAGGGUGGGUGCUCUCUACCAGAAGAAGGAUGUAUGAGAGUCAUAGCAUGCCAGCGUCAGAAGGCACCUCGAGAUCACAGCCAACUUUCUCCAGAGAAAGAAACUGGAUGCCAGUAUGGGCCUUUGGUGACUGAAAGGACCAGGGAGCGAGGGGCAGAGGAGAGCCUAACUCAGAUGUCUUUCAAUCGCUGCACAGCGAUGCUGCCAUCUUGCCAGCCAGUGAUGCUUGCUAAGCAGAUAAUGGGGAGUUUGCUGUGACUCUGCUUCAAAAUGUCCUUGAAAACAUGGAAGGAAAAAUUCCAACUUGGUGAUGCACGGGGAACGGUUAUGCGAAUACAAUUCUCGCAUGCCAAAAGUAUCCUUACAAAGAGACAGCAGUAUACGGAUGUUGUUUGCCUUUAACCACUGAACCCUUGAGCAUAGCCAUCAAGGUCAUGAGUUUGUUCAAAGUCACCUUGCUUCUAUUGGCAUUCUCAGUUUCUGAAUGUCUGAGGUUUAAAGUUUUCUUGACAGGAGACUGCUCUUCCUAUGUUUUCCACCAUCUCUGAUACCCCCCCCCACACCAGCUCUCUCCAUCUUGUCUGAUGUGCUGGGAUGUUCAAGUCUGGUCCCCCAUCCCUUAAUGGUUGAGUCCAAGGGUCAUUGGCUCUGUAUUUCCAACUUGACUCCUUCCCCCCACAACAAAACAGAAGAUUCCUUUAUCUGUUGGCUUCCGUGUCAGUUCAGUCCAACUGCUUGGAGAUGGGAAGAAAUGAGUUCAAGAUACGUAUUUCCCAGUUGCCCAUCUGUGGGACCUUCAAGGUGUGAUGACAUCUAUCUACUGUAAAGGGCAAUUGUCAAACAGCUUCACCCUGCACAGAAUUCUCUCUUCCCUCCCCUGCACAGCUUCACCCUGCACAGCAGCUCUUCCUUCCCUCCCCUGUCCAGGCGGGGGUGGGGUCUGUUGAUGCUGGUGUUUUGAUGAACCCUUUGGGGUUCUGCGCUCUCCCCUGUGGCUUCUCCACA